AUUGAACGCUGGCGGCAGGCCUAACACAUGCAAGUCGAGCGGUAGAGAGGUGCUUGCAUCUCUUGAGAGCGGCGGACGGGUGAGUAAUGCCUAGGAAUCUGCCUAGUGUGGGGGAUAACGUUCGGAAACGGACGCUAAUACCGCAUACGUCCUACGGGAGAAAGCGGGGGAUCUUCGGACCUCGCGCCAUUAGAUGAGCCUAGGUCGGAUUAGCUAGUUGGUGAGGUAAUGGCUCACCAAGGCGACGAUCGUAACUGGUCUGAGAGGAUGAUCAGUCACACUGGAACUGAGACACGGUCCAGA
rnacentral:rRNA from 1 species